rnacentral:lncRNA from 1 species
CUCAAACCUUAUCUGUCCUCCAAGAUCAGCAUCCAGGUUACUGACUGUUCAUUCCCACUGGGCAAAGCUUAUUCUAGACCCUGUGCAUUCCUUCCUCCCUUCUUCUCUGGAGCAGCAAGUGUGAUCUUUCUCUGGACUGGAGCAGGAUGAUUCAAGACUCUGGCAUGGGUUGGGAGUGGACAUGGAUACAGCAGACAUAAUGUGAGACUCCUCUAGUGUAGCUAAUGUGGCCAUGAAGCACGUUCUUAAAUUACCUGCACAUAAACAAGGAAGAAAUCCAGCCAGGAAGUGAUAGCCCAAGGCAUGGAGGAAGCCAAGUCAGCUAGAGCUGGUGCAGCUGCCCACCUUACAGCUUGCAGACUCUGUGCUGACCCAUGCCUGUGUAUGCGGCUUUGGCCUAUUCAUCCUCUCCUUAGGACUCCCUGGCCAUGCAUAUCAGCAACUGCAAUUACACUCCUGGUCUGGCCGCUCUGCACAUUCCCUGCCUGGGUGCCAACGCUGGGCCUAGUCAAGCAGGGAGGAGAUGAAAGGAGGUCAUGUGUGGGCACGCAUGCCCAGUCUAUGCCAUAGAUGUUUGCCCUGCCUGCUGGAAACAGGCCUUUCCAGUGCAGCCUGCAGUAAAUAAGCCUCCAGCUCCACUGGGCACUGUGAUUCCCUCUCCUCCCACUGCCAUUGGCAAAAACCAACAGAGUUUUAAAAAAUGGACAUUUCUCUCCUUUCUGAAAAAACACUGCGCUGGUUUAAAUAAUUCAAAAGAAAAGACAUUCCUUCCUCUUUUUCUCCAAAAGCCCACAUGUUCCCUAAAAUCAGAGGCUUAGCUCUUAAGGUCAGUUGGUAAAAUAAAGCGGGGGGGGGGCGCAGUGACAGUUAAUGUGAGCCCACAUGACGUAGGCUGUGUGACAAGACAGCAUGGUGGCAGGCCACAUGCCAAGGCAACAUGGCAGUGCUCCAGAACAAAACAGAAAAACCAGAGAGAAAGCCAUUUACAAACUGGGGUGGGUGGAGACCAGGCUAAUUUCCAAGAAGGGUAACAAAUGUGCAGACAACAAGGCAUACUAAGCUCUAAGUCAUGCACAUCGUGCAGCAAGCUCUCUGGAUACUUAGCUUGUACUGGCAAAGUGAGCAUAGCAGAAAAAAAGUCUCUUGUAGCUGGAAGAAAAACAAAGGCCAUAUAUUCCUUCUCCAUCCCCCAUGUGGUGGGAAAAGCAGCAAAUAGUUCUCUGCACAUCAUGAGAAGAGUCCCCUGA